rnacentral:rRNA from 1 species
ACGGAGGAUCCGAGCGUUAUCCGGAUUUACUGGGUUUAAAGGGUGCGUAGGCGGGCGCUUAAGUCAGCGGUGAAAUACGGGGGCUCAACCUUCGAACGGCCGUUGAUACUGGGCGCCUUGGAUUCGGUCGAGGCGGGCGGAAUGCGACAUGUAGCGGUGAAAUGCUUAGAUAUGUCGCAGAACGCCGAUUGCGAAGGCAGCUCGCCAGGCCGACAUUGACGCUGAGGCACGAAAGCGUGGGGAUCAAACAG